rnacentral:misc_RNA from 1 species
UUUCCGUAGGUGAACCUGCGGAAGGAUCAUUAUUGUAUAACCGAGGUACGAGGGCUGUCGCUGACCCGAAAGGUCGUCCACGCCCGAGUGCUCUCACACACAUCCAUCUCACCCCUAUGUGCACCACCGCGUGGGUCACCCUUUGGCUUGUUCGGAGGGGGGCUUACGUUUUCACACAAACUUUGUAUGCAGUGUAGAAUGUAUUUUUUGUUUUUGCGAUCACGCAAUAAAUACAACUUUCAACAACGGAUCUCUUGGCUCUC